rnacentral:rRNA from 1 species
AGUGAACGCUGGCGGUAGGCCUAACACAUGCAAGUCGAACGGCAGCACAGUAAGAGCUUGCUCUUACGGGUGGCGAGUGGCGGACGGGUGAGGAAUACAUCGGAAUCUACUUUUUCGUGGGGGAUAACGUAGGGAAACUUACGCUAAUACCGCAUACGACCUACGGGUGAAAGCAGGGGAUCUUCGGACCUUGCGCGAUUGAAUUAGCCGAUGUCGGAUUAGCUAGUUGGCGGGGUAAAGGCCCACCAAGGCGACGAUCCGUAGCUGGUCUGAGAGGAUGAUCAGCCACACUGGAACUGAGACACGGUCCAGACUCCUACGGGAGGCAGCAGUGGGGAAUAUUGGACAAUGGGCGCAAGCCUGAUCCAGCCAUACCGCGUGGGUGAAGAAGGCCUUCGGGUUGUAAAGCCCUUUUGUUGGGAAAGAAAAGCAGCAGGUUAAUACCACGCUGUUCUGACGGUACCCAAAGAAUAAGCACCGGCUAACUUCGUG